CCCAGUGUUCAGACUACCUGUUCAGGUAGCUAGAAGUUGCACAGUAGUCUACACACUGGUUA
rnacentral:pre_miRNA from 1 species